UUUCACGCUCAUGCAAUUUGCGCCAAUUGACUUGUGCAUGCCCAAUUCGCGCAAGUAAACUGUUGCACGAAAACCAAAAUCGUUCAUUUGCACAAGCCAAAAAGCUUGACUUGAGUGAAUCUAGCUCGAUCAGAUAUUUUGCAUGUGGUUGGCGCAAAUGCAUGAGCGUAUAAGCGACACUCCAACUUUUUAAACAGUUUUCGAUCGCGCACAUGCACUUGGACGCCGUUUUCUUGUUUUGACAGGUUUCCGCCGGGUUUAAAUUUUCGGUAUUGUUUUUGCUCUGUGUUUUCGCUGGGGUUUUCGGAUAUUUUGGGUAAAUUUUUGAUGUCAACUAAAGAGAGAGAGUUUAUGGGGGAGUUUAUUGAGCUUUAUAAAUCGUUUCCAUGUCUUUGGAAAAUAAAAUCAAAAGAAUACAGUGAUAGAAAUGCAAAAUCACAGGCAUAUGAAAUUCUUGUUGAAAAAAUGCAAACGGUUGAUAGAAAGGCAACCAGGGAUACGGUAGUUAAGAAAAUGAAUUCAAUGAGAACCACAUAUAGAAAAGAACUAAAAAAGGUUCUUGAAUCUGAGAGGUCCGGUGCCGGAACAGAAGAAAUAUAUGUUCCACAUUUAUGGUACUACGAGUUAUUGAGCUUCCUACAGGACCAGGAAACUCCAAGAGGCACUUUAUCAAAUAUGGACGAAGAAAAUGAAACUCAGGUUUCUAAAAUACAUGAAACUAAUGAAACUCAACAGGACUUUAUUGAUGAUCAUCUAUCCGAACCACACACGCCCAUGCCAGUAUCUGAAUAUUCUGAACCAAGUACACCUCGUCCAGCGCAACCAAAAAUAUGAUGACGUUUUGGAUACCAUUCAGAAACGUUUUGCAGUGCCUUCAAAUAUUGAUGAUAAGUUCAAUCAUAUUGGAUUGGCAUGGGCAUCAAAAUUAAAAGAACUUUCUCAUGAGCAACGCAUUCACGCUGAGAAAUUAAUUAAUGAUGUUUUUUAUGAGGCUCAGUUAGAAACUCUAAAUCGCCACUGUGCCAUAAAUAGACAACUGCAACAACAAUCACAGGUGUCAAGACAAUAUUUUCACCAAAUGCAACCUGCAUAUCAGCCACCUUCACCAGUGACAUGGCAUCAUCAGCAACAAAUUCCACAACCAGUGUCUCAUUAGAAUCAAACGCCUUAUCAACUAGAUUAUCAUGAAAAUCAAAUUUCUCCACACCCACAAACAGGAUCUAAUUGUCAGCAACCUAAAGCUCCAAGAAAUUCUGAAUUACCUCCUCCUGAACAAGACGAAGACAGUGAAUCGCAAACUGCUGCACAAUUUUUAGCGAAUUUUACUAAUUCUAGCGUACAGUAGAUAUAAUAAUAAUAUGUUAAUAAUAAGUUUUACAUACCUUUAAA